GCCGUUUUAGCUCAGUUGGUAGAGCAACUGUUUUGUAAACAGUAGGUCCCCAGUUCGAAUCUGGGAAGCGGCUCCA
rnacentral:tRNA from 2 species